AUUGAACGCUGGCGGCAGGCCUAACACAUGCAAGUCGAGCGGAGCGGCGGACGGGUGCGUAAUGCCUAGGAAUCUGCCUGGUAGUGGGGGAUAACGUCAGGAAACGGGCGCUAAUACCACAUACUAUCAGAUGAGCCUAGGUCGGGUUAGCUAGUGGGGGGGGUAAAGGCAUACCAAGGCGACGAUCCGUAACUGGGCGGAGAGGAUGAUCAGUCACACUGGAACUGAGACACGGUCCAGACUCCUACGGUAGGCAGCAGUGGGGAAUAUUGGACAAUGGGCGCAAGCCUGAUCCAGCCAUGCCGCGUGUGUGAAGAAGGGCUUCGGAUAGUAAAGCACAUUUAGUUGGGAGGCGUUACCAACAGAAUAAGCACCGGCUAACUUCGUGCCAGCAGCCGCGGUAAUUC
rnacentral:rRNA from 1 species